GCCGUGAUUCCUCGGGGUCCAGUGCGGCUCCGUCCAGGACACCGCCUUCCGCGGCCGCUGUGAAACUCGGUUUUCUGAGGAGCCACGCUACGGAAAGGCUUCAGAAGAAGGGGCCCCACCGAACUUCUUCAGUCCAGAUAUGCCCUUGCUCGCCCUCGUAAUUACCUGUUGAUAGAGAGAUGGACUACUUCUCUCCACUUCUUGGAAGCACCUACUGAUGUGGCGAUGCACGAAGGCCAGGAUUAUGACAGGCUUUUU